rnacentral:rRNA from 1 species
GACGAACGCUGGCGGCGUGCCUAAUACAUGCAAGUAGAACGCACAGGAUGCACCGUAGUUUACUACACCGUAUUCUGUGAGUUGCGAACGGGUGAGUAACGCGUAGGUAACCUGCCUGGUAGCGGGGGAUAACUAUUGGAAACGAUAGCUAAUACCGCAUAAGAACAUUUACUGCAUGGUAGAUGUUUAAAAGGUGCAAAUGCAUCACUACCAGAUGGACCUGCGUUGUAUUAGCUAGUAGGUGAGGUAACGGCUCACCUAGGCGACGAUACAUAGCCGACCUGAGAGGGUGAUCGGCCACACUGGGACUGAGACACGGCCCAGACUCCUACGGGAGGCAGCAGUAGGGAAUCUUCGGCAAUGGGGGGAACCCUGACCGAGCAACGCCGCGUGAGUGAAGAAGGUUUUCGGAUCGUAAAGCUCUGUUGUUAAGGAAGAACGAGUGUGAGAAUGGAAAGUUCA